rnacentral:rRNA from 1 species
UACAGAGGUCUCGAGCGUUAGGCGGAAUCACUGGGCUUAAAGCGUGUGUAGGCGGAUCGUUAAGUGCCUUGUGAAAUCCCACGGCUCAACCGUGGAACUGCUGGGUAUACUGGCGAUCUUGAGCCACCUAGGGGCGAGCGGAACAAACGGUGGAGCGGUGAAAUGCGUAGAUAUCGUUUGGAACGCCAACGGUGAAAACAGCUCGCUGGGGGUGUGCUGACGCUGAGACACGAAAGCCAGGGGAGCGAACGGG